UCUCCAUGCUCUCGCUCGCAGCCGCACAGAGGAGAAGCGGCUGAGGAGAGGAAGGAAGGAGUCUAUCACAUCAUCUCUCUGUCCACAGGCUUUCCUUGGGGCUUAUGAAGAUUUCUUCUCACUAACCCCUCUUCACCCGUCGGAACCGGAAGGAUGUGUGGAUAGAUGGCUUAAGAACAAAAUGAACUGGAGUUUUUUGAGAGUCCUUUGAGGCCUGCUUGGAUAUUUCCAUCCCUUCCUCCCAAGCCACCACCUCCUUCGGUGGAAUAGAAGAUCGAACCUAGAAAUUGUACUCUCCUCAAUCCGCUUAAGAGAAUCUGGCUGAUGGCUUUGGUCUGAGAGUUCAGACAUCUCUUGUGCAGCUAAGAAAGACCUCAUUUUCCAUUUGCUGGAUCCUCCUGGUUUGUCAUCCCUGAAUCCUGUAAGAAGGUCAUCAGGAGGUCCCCUGCGCUAGAAGGACCAUGUGAGUUCAUCCCAGAUGAUGGGUGGCACCAUGGUUUUAGCAGCUCACACAGUGGAGAACCACAUUCGCUCUGGAAGAGCUUGGCAACAUGUAUUUGGUAACAGAACAAGGUCAGCUUGAGCUCUAUCCUUCUGUGGCUAUACUGAACAAAAGGAGAGAGAAAGGAAG
rnacentral:lncRNA from 1 species